rnacentral:rRNA from 1 species
GACGAACGCUGGCGGCGUGCUUAACACAUGCAAGUCGAACGGAAAGGCCCUGCUUUUGUGGGGUGCUCGAGUGGCGAACGGGUGAGUAACACGUGAGUAACCUGCCCUUGACUUUGGGAUAACUUCAGGAAACUGGGGCUAAUACCGGAUAGGAGCUCCUGCUGCAUGGUGGGGGUUGGAAAGUUUCGGCGGUUGGGGAUGGACUCGCGGCUUAUCAGCUUGUUGGUGGGGUAGUGGCUUACCAAGGCUUUGACGGGUAGCCGGCCUGAGAGGGUGACCGGCCACAUUGGGAAUGAGGUACGGCCCAGACUCCUACGGGAGGCAGCAGGGGGGAAUAUUGCACAAUGGGCGGAAGCCUGAUGCAGCAACGCCGCGGGCGGGAUGACGGCCUUCGGGUUGUAAACCGCUUUCGCCUGUGACGAAGCGUGAGUGACGGUAAUGGGUAAAGGAGCACCGGCUAACUACGUG